rnacentral:lncRNA from 1 species
UGCUUGAGGGAAUGAUCACAUGACAAAACAGGAAGCCAGGAGAUUCAGUGACUAGGCUCAUCCUUUUUAUAACAACCUAUCUAGGGAACUUACCAAGGUCCCAUGAGGACUACAUUAAUGCCUUCCAAGCACUGUAUCCCCAAGGGCCUAACCACCUUCCAUUGGACCCUCACAUCUUAAAAGUUCCAUCCCAUCAGCACAACCACACUGGGGACCAAGCUUCCGACACACAAACCUCUGGGGACACACAAGCUGUAUCCAAAUGGUAGCAGGUAGGUAGGUAUCAGUUCACUCUUAACCUUCAAAUAACUAGUUUUCCCCUACUAGUAUGCCACCCCUUUCAUAAAUUAACAUUUCACAUAUAUGUGAAGAAGGUCUUGACUCUGUCUGUUCUCCUUAUCACUUUCUCUGUAGUUAUAUCAGUCUCAAAUGUUUGUUCUUUUGUUUGUUUAUUUAUUCUAUGAGACAGGGUCUCAUGUUAUCCAGGCUGACCUCAAACUCCUUAUAUAGCUGGGCAUGGUGGUACAAAUCUUUAAUUCCAGAACUCAGGAGGCAAAAGCAGAAGGUGCUCUCUGAGUUUAAGACCACUCUGGCCUACAUAUUGUGUUUCAGAACAACCAGGGCUAUGGAGAGAGACCCUUUUUUAAAAACCAAAGGGAAAAAGAAAGACAACUCCUUACAUGUCAGAGGUUGGCCUUGAACUCUUGAUCCUUCUGCCUUGACUUCCAACCUGCUAGGAUAACAAGUGUAUCCCACCACACCUGGCAUCACAGCAUCUUAACAAUAUUUCCUCAUUCAUUUCUGAUAUCUGCUUGGACAGCCAUACUUCCUGGCUCCUUGUGCAGAGGUUAUUUUGUCAUGCACAGAGAGCAGGAUUUCUGUGCCUGGCAAACAGACAAAGUUAAAAGUUUAAGUGCAGUGUGGCAGAGGCAUUAGACUCCCCCAUAGCACAGCUUACCAGGUCUUUUCCUCUUUUGUCCACCACCUCAUUGUGAACCAUGAAGGAUCAAAAGCUAGGCCUAGAUAUUCACUGUACAUACUGCAUCAGGAAGCUUUGGUGUGGAUGCCCAUGCUACUCUAAACUCAAUGUCCCACCUGUUUCCAGGCAGAUGCGGGAUGGUAGGAAUCCUCUGAAGACUGUCUAGCUCGGCUGUACCUAAGUGGUCAAAAGUGGAAUGUAGAGUUAGGCAGAGGAAGAUUCCCAUAAGCGUAAUUGGAUGUUUCUUCACCUCCACUCUCUAAGCCUUGUGAUUUGGUCAUGUCAAUUUUGUCACACAGAUUUGAGGUGGUUGUUGUGAAAAUAGGGAAUUCCUUUCUUUUGCUGUCUCAUAUCAACAAAUAGUUACUGAGAGCUCAUGUCCAAUCCCAAGACCUCUCUAGCUCUAGUCCCUUCCCUGAGUCCAGGAUCCUUGCUUUCCAUAAAGAAAGUAUACUUUGAGGUAAGAAUAAACAGUGUCAGGAAUGUGGUAAUUUGGGGUUGGGGAAGAAGACAAGAGUGAGUGAGGAAUUAAAGGAAGGACAGAGGUGGUGUGUUGAUGGGUGGGAGAUUCUUUUGGGUGGUCAGUGGUUUUUGCUAUUUUAUUUUAAAACAGUGUCUAACUGUGUAGAGCAGACUGGUCUUGAACAUACAGAGAUCUGUCUGCUUCUGUCUCCCAAGUGCUGGGAAUAAGGAACAGAUGGCCAGGAGUAGGGAAACAGGAAUAGGGGAACAUAGACAAGGAAGAGGACAUAGGGUGUAGUAGAGUGUGGGGGGUGGGUGGGGGGGUGAAUAAAGGGUCACAGCAGGGGGUUGAGAGUAGGGACUGUGAACAAGGAAGAGAUGGCUGAGAGUAGGGAACAGGGAUAGGGAGCAGAGACAAGAAGGAGCAAAUGAGGAAGAACAAAGACUGCCAGGGAGCAGAAAUAACAAGGGACAAACUAGAACACCCAGAGAGGAAAUAGAUGGCUGCAGGCAUGCCAUUCAGGGACGAAUGGUAUCUUUUCUUAUCAGUAUUCAAGAAGGCCUUUUAUAUGCUACCCCUGAACCCUUUCCAAGGACUCAGCUCUGAGCCUUGUGGAAUGCUUCUUGUCAGCCACAGAUGAUUGUGGAGAGAAGCCAUACCCCACUGAUCAGUAAAAGCAUGCCCUGGUAUGCCUUGGCUACUAUGCAUGAUACCCAAGUCAAAAAAUUCUAUCCACUAUGGGUUGGGGACAAAUUUUUCUAUUGCAGGCUAAAAUUAAAAACCCAGUAACAUGUGUUGGUGACAGAAGUAGGGUUGAAAUGGAGACUUUGUUCUGAGAGAGGCCUGAGGAUACGGUCUCCUGAAUGUGAGCAGAUCAAUUGAACUACAAUGAGAAAUUAAUUUUUAAAGGAAGGCAGGAUUCAUGGCAGGAGCCUAGGGCUGAGUGUUUGGAAGACAGGUGGGAGCAUCUGGUGUCAGAGAGGGGCUCCUAUAUUGAGGUAGGGAGCCAAUAGACACUUGAGAAGGGGUUCCACCUCCAUCAGAAGUUGAUAGAGAGCUCCACAAAGAACUCAUCAGGAUGCACAAGCUCGAUGGAAGGUAAGUUGUCCACAUCUGGGAGGGGCAGCCUAGACAUUGCUGCCAGGAUGAAAUAGUUCAUUCUACUUUCUCAGGGGACCAGGGCAGCUUCCACUGGAACCAGGAGCUAGUUUGUAGAGAAUGUAUCUGGAGCUUUAAGUACAUCUUAAUGACUCUCAACCAAUCUUCUUUCUUAUUUUUAUACUACUUUUUUCUUUUUCAUUCUUCUUUCCUUCCUUUCUUUUUGUGUAAUACUGGGUAUCAGUCUCAGGGGCUUGUACUAGGCAAGUUAUCUACUACCGUUGAGCUACACCCCUCUCGUUGCUUUUUAUUUUUUGAGACAAGGUCUCACCACAUAGUCCAGACUCACCUGAAAGUACAAAUCCUCUUUCCCCAGUCUUUGUUUGUUUGUUUUUGUUUUUCGAGACAGGGUUUCUCUGUAUAGCUGUAUAGUCCUGGCUGUCCUGAAACACACUCUGUAGGCCAGGCUGGCCUUGAACUCAGAAAUUGCCUGCCUCUGCCUCUCCAAGUGCUUUAAGUGGGAUUAAAGGUGUUCGCCACCACUGCCUGAACUCCCAGUCUCUUUUUUUUAAUUUCACAUUUUAUUAUUUUAAAUUGUGUGGUUUGGUCAGGGUAUGUGUAUAUUAGUGUAGGUGCCUGCAGAAGCUAGAGGAGUUAGAUAUUCCUGGAACUGGAAUUAGAGGUGGUUGUAAGCCCCUGUCAAACCCAGGUGCUUUGAAAGUAUAUGCUCUUCAUCACUGAACCAUUUUUCCAGCCCCCUGCUUCAAUCUCUUAACUUGUAGAAUUACAGGCAUGUGACACCUUUAACUGACUGUAAGUCUUUCUUUAAAAGUAUUUUUCUUGAAAGUAUAUAUUCAAGUGUGUGUAUGACAUAUGAACACUUUAGAGGAUGCACAUGGAGGCCAGAGAAGAGCAUUAAAUAUGUUCCUCUAGUAGUCUACAGUUUAUUCCUUUGAUGAAGGGUCUUUCUGGAAGAAAACUUGGAGAUCCUCUUUUCAGCUAGGCUGGCAGUCAGCAAGCCCCAGCAAUCCUCCAGUCUCUGCUUCAUUGGUGCUGGGCUUACAGGUAUGUGCAGGAUCAUGCCUGGCUUGUUAUGUGGGUGCUGGGAUCAGCACUCCGGUCUUCAGGAUUGUACAGCAAAGUGCUCUUAGCUUCUGAGCCAUCUUCCUAACCCUUCUAAACUCUCAAUCUCCUUUAAACAAAGACAAACUCCAGGUGUGUGCUGCAUGAAUUAGAUGCCAGCACUUGGGAAGUGGAGGCAAGAGGAUCAGGAGUUCCAGGCAAGCCUGGGCUGCAUGAGACCCUGUCUCAAUU